AUGAUUUAAUCCAGUUUCUAGGGAAAUGUCCCUAAUGUCUCUCUGCAGGAUGUCAGAUGCACUAGUUGUGGCAGUUGCUUCUGCCUGCAGAGUCCAUGUAGGUUGGUGUGAAACAGCUCUAAGUAACUUGAAGAAAAUUAAGAAUAUUUAGGAUGAAUAUCAGUAAUGUUUCUGUCAGAGAAAUGCAAGCUUGGUUUCUGAGACGUUUAAACAUUACCUGAUAAGAAAACCCCAAACAACACAACUAUUAAUUAUCUGAACUAGCAAUCUGGAAUAUAUUAAGUCCAGGCACUUUUAUUAUCACUUCAUAAAUAUUCCUGUUUUCUCACCUCAGAUUCUUGUAAGGAAAGAGCAGCUCAUGAAAAUAUAUCUCUGAAAGAGCUCAAUAGUGUCAUUGCAUGGGCGAGCAGGUUUUUUUAAAGCUCAGUUGUAACUUUGAGUAAAGGAGAUGGAAAAUGUGGGAGUGGAAGAGGCGGCACUUGGCCAUGCUGUGGUUCCCAGGGCAGCAGCCAGGAGAACCCCUGGGCAGGGAAGGGAGCCGUGAGAGGGUGAAGAGGCUGAGGGACAUCCCAGCUUGAUUUCAUUUGGUUAUUUUAUUUGUACGCUAGAUUCAAAAUUGUUGUCUUUGAAGAUAACAGCAGUACAGCUGGGUCACUUCUAAAUCUCAGGAGCUGUAGGAUAAGGACAACCCAAAUACAAAGAAAUAGUAAAACUGGGUGUUUGGACAGCAGUCACUGCAAAUGGUUGCAAGUUUAUUCAUAGAUCAGAUUGUUGGUUCUGCUGCUUGCAGAAUUCCCUCACAGCUGGUGAAUGGUGCUACAAAUCCACCUCUGCUCUGAAAAACUCCUUUUAGGCUGGAAUCUGCAAACACAUAUGCUCAACUUAAAAUCUGUGAAAUCAGCUGCAUCUCACUGUAGCUGCUUGUAAAUUUAGAGGAAUAAAAUGCUUGGGGAAAGGAAAUGUAAAGUGCUGGAUUAAGAACUUCAGUGCUGCGUUUUGGGUGUUUGUGAUAUGCACAACAUAUAUCAACAGCUAUUAAAAUAAGUUUCAGGAAAGAAUUCUAGAGAUUGAUUGUUUCUUCAAAAAUUACUCCAAAAAUCAAUCAGAACUGUCUUAGAAAUAUGCCUACUAUGCACCAAGAUCUAGUUUUCCUUUUUUUUAACAAAAUUUAUCAAUCCAUUAAGAGGAGACAAGUAAACAAAAAUGAAUUGUCAUUUGUGUUAUUUUAUUAGUGUCACAUGAGAUUACAGCAUAUUAUUGAUUUGAGAAUAUUUUACCCAAGGAGACUUGUUUUAACAUGAACAAGUCAGGAUCAAUACCGGAUAUGCAUUCAUUUUCAUAAAAAGCUACAAGGCAAUAUUUUUUUUACAAAUCCCAUGACUAUACUUAUAGCUCUGUAAAAAAAAUAUCAUUGUGACCAAAUGAGGACCUAGCUAAGAUUUAAUUAUUAAAAAAUGGAUUAUUAUUUGCGCUGUUGCUUACUUUCCCAGGUGUAUUAUUUACCGACCAAAAGUAAUUUAUGUGCUCACCCGGUCAUAGAGUGAAGUUAGAUUGCCUGUGCAAUUUUUGCUGACUUUGCUGCCUUAGCUUACUUUAUCAAUUCUCUUUCCCCCCCUGCUUUUUUCAUUAGAGAUCGCAUAUAGUUUAAGAGCUGUAAUCUGAAACCUUACAGCUCUAGUGGAUACUUAAAAGACUCAUUGAUACACUUUGAAACCAAGUCAAUUGAACAGCAUUAGCAACAGCAGCAUCUAGCCAUUAGGCCAUUAGGAUCAUUUGCCGAGGCACUAAAAUUAAAUAUAGGGACUCUAGCAAUUCCCCAAUUAUAUUGUGUUUGUAUAAUGGCAGUGAAAAGGAUAUUAUUUUAGUCAGCUCAGUGCUACUAUUGCAAGAACCAAGAUGCUCUCCAUUUUGCAGACGUAGAUAUGUAUUGGCCAGGACACUGACAUUAAUUCCCUUUGCAGG